CUCGUAGGCGGUUCAGUAAGUCGGGUGUUAAAACUCUGGGCUCAACCCAGAGACGCCACCCGAUACUGCUGUGACUUGAGUACGGUAGGGGAGUGGGGAAUUCCUGGUGUAGCGGUGAAAUGCGCAGAUAUCAGGAGGAACACCAGUGGCGAAGGCGCCACUCUGGGCCGUAACUGACGCUGAGGAGCGAAAGCGUGGGUAGCAAACA
rnacentral:rRNA from 1 species